rfam:Camelus ferus unplaced genomic scaffold scaffold740, whole genome shotgun sequence.
GAAGGGAUAGUUCAGUGGUAGAGCACAUGCUUAUCAUGCAGGAGGUCCUGGGUUCGAUCCCCAGAACCUCCA